rnacentral:lncRNA from 1 species
UUACAUCGUCACAUCUUCUUUAUAAAAGAGAAACUUUAUAAAAUUUAAUAGGUCUUCUUUUCCAAUUAUUCUUUGAAUAUGGGGUCAAAUUUCAUUCAUAGUUUUAUUCCCUUUCCUUUGUCUUUUGCUAACAUGGUAGAUUCUACCAAUUAUUGUUUGAAUUUUUGCAGGUAUUCAUCAAUAUCAAUUUUAGCAUUUUUCUGAGUACUUUGUGAUUCUUCUGCUAAACAAUCUUCUUCAUUAUCCUUAGUAUGACCAGCAGAUGUCAUAGAAAUGUCUGAUGCAUUUUUCAUGUCAAGAUUGCUCAUUAAAUCUUUCUUUAUUUUUUUCAUGUGUGAGACUAUUAUUUCUGACCUGGAUAUUACUGUUUUUUUUAUUUGGAGUCUUCUUGAAAUACUUUUGAAAAGAUUAGUUUCAUUCUUUUGUUAUAUUGAUGCCAUAUUUAUUAGUUCUUUGUAUUUGGCAAUGGCCAUAUUGAUAGAUACAAUUAUCACUUGUCCAAGGAUAUUAUCUUC